rnacentral:rRNA from 1 species
GACGAACGCUGGCGGCGUGCUUAACACAUGCAAGUCGAGCGGUAAGGCCUUUCGGGGUACACGAGCGGCGAACGGGUGAGUAACACGUGGGUGACCUGCCUUUAGCUUCGGGAUAAGCCUGGGAAACCGGGUCUAAUACCGGAUAUGACCUCAUGUCGCAUGGUGUGGGGUGGAAAGUUCUUCGGCUAGAGAUGGGCCCGCGGCCUAUCAGCUUGUUGGUGGGGUGAUGGCCUACCAAGGCGACGACGGGUAGCCGGCCUGAGAGGAUGAUCAGCCACACUGGGACUGAGACACGGCCCAGACUCCUACGGGAGGCAGCAGUGGGGAAUAUUGGACAAUGGGCGCAAGCCUGAUCCAGCCAUGCCGCGUGAGUGAUGAAGGCCCUAGGGUUGUAAAGCUCUUUCGCCAGGGACGAUAAAUGACGGUACCUGGAUAAGAAGCCCCGGCUAACUUCGUGCCAGCCGCCGCCGUAAC